rnacentral:rRNA from 1 species
AGAGUUUGAUCCUGGCUCAGAAUCAACGCUGGCGGCGUGCCUAACACAUGCAAGUCGAACGCGAAAGGGGAGCAAUCCCUGAGUAGAGUGGCAAACGGGUGAGUAACACGUGGGUGACCUGCCUUCGAGUGGGGGAUAACGUCCCGAAAGGGACGCUAAUACCGCAUGACAUCCUGCUUUUGGAAAAGCGGAGAUCAAAGCUGGGGAUCGCAAGACCUGGCGCUUGAAGAGGGGCCCGCGCCUGAUUAGCUAGUUGGUGGGGUAAUGGCUCACCAAGGCUACGAUCAGUAUCCGGCCUGAGAGGGCGGACGGACACGCUGGGACUGAGACACGGCCCAGACUCCUACGGGAGGCAGCAGUGGGGAAUUGUUCGCAAUGGGCGCAAGCCUGACGACGCAACGCCGCGUGGAGGACGAAGAUCUUCGGGUCGUAAACUCCUGUCGAGCGGGAAGAACGCUUCGCGGAUGAAUAAGCCGCGGAAAUGACGGUACA